rnacentral:lncRNA from 1 species
AGAACUCUGCGGUUUUGUGGAGCUCGAGAGUCCGGGACAAGGUAGACGCAGGAUAUUGACCUUUUUAUUUUUAACUGCAUUUUCAGUUUGGAGGUUGUAAAAUAGGUAUAACAUUUAAGAAAAAAAAUUGAAAGGUGAGUGGAGGGAAAACCCGUAACUCCUUAAACUUUAAAAACUUAUUUCUCUGUUCCCUUAUUUAUUUUAUUUAUUUAUUUAUUUAUUUAUUUAUUUAUUUUGCCGAGUGCUGCCAAUUCUUUGAAAAUAUGAAGCUGGAUGUGGUGGGAAGAACAAGCGUUUUGGCACAAAAAGAUGAUUAAUUGGAUAAACUAUAAAUGGAAAAUGUGGGUGGGCGCUGCAAUUUAGAGGCUUGGGGUCUACUACCUGGUGAAAGGAUUAACAUGGGAAGCUAGUUACGUUUUUGUUUCUUGAGUAUCUUCUGUAAUUAUGGAACUAAAGCCUAUCUGGAAGAGACACAGCUGGUGUAUAUGUAUGGUCCACCAUUCUCUUUAUUAUGUGAGUUCAGUUUUAAUUUAUGCAUUUCAUCUAGUAUGACAUAAACGUUUCCACGCUGCUUCCUCACAAUUUUAACAUUUAAUGGUGAGAUAAAAUUCCAUCCAUUAUUGAUGCCUCAGCCAAAGUAAUUGUCCCUCUGCUGCACAAUGCAAAGUUUUUAAGUUUUACUAUGAAAAUAAUAUUGUAAAGAGUAUCUUUUGUGUGUUUGGCUUUUUAAAUCUGUUGAAUUAUUUUGUUUGUAUAAUUUUCCUGAACUAGGAAUUUGGGGUCAAAAUAUUCCAAAACAUUUUAAUAACUAUAAAUGAUGUUGCUUUCCAAAAUGAACAAGCUUACAGCACUAUCAGAAUACACAACACCAAACCAUACCAUUUUUUUUCCUUUAAAUUCUUUGGUAUGAAAUGUUACCCCUAGGUAACUAUACUUAUAAUUCUUUGGUUACUAUCAAGAUCUGAUGUCUUUCUUGUGUUUCUAAACUAUCUCUGUGUCCUCUGAUGUAAAUUCUUUGUUU